UACGUAGGGGGCAAGCGUUAUCCGGAUUUACUGGGUGUAAAGGGAGCGUAGACGGCGGUGCAAGCCAGAUGUGAAAGCCCGGGGCUCAACCCCGGGACUGCAUUUGGAACUGUGCUGCUAGAGUGUCGGAGAGGCAGGCGGAAUUCCUAAUGUAGCGGUGAAAUGCGUAGAUAUUAGGAGGAACACCAGUGGCGAAGGCGGCCUGCUGGACGAUGACUGACGUUGAGGCUCGAAAGCGUGGGGAGCAAACAGG
rnacentral:rRNA from 1 species